ACAGCGUUUUAAUUUUUGUCACCAAAAACUUAUUCAAAACUCUGUAUCGGUUCUUGAUAAGUGAUAAAUAAUCAAAUAUAUUGUUGAGCAAAAAAAUAUAAAUUCAAACAACCCGAGGUUUUAACCUAUUAAUUCUUCGUAGUGGUAAAGCAGACGACUUAUAGCAGACACGUACUGGCAUGAGCAGACAUCGAAUAUCCUUCUUUUAUCCUCUACUUGUUUGUUUUGAUUGGCGAAUAACACCGACUAACCUCUGUGGUAAAAUUUUGAAUUCGAGUACUGCAGUGUAUUACACUUAUCAACCAAAAUUUAAAAAUGGGUGAAAUACAUGAUAUUUACAUUUUCUUAUUCUCAUAAGUAAAACGUCAUAAAUUGGAAAGUUAUAAUGAAUCGGCAGAAAAUUAUCUCUCAUGUCCUUGUGUAUACCUUAGCAACUGAUGCUUUUCAUGUAAUGCCCACUGGAGAUGUAAUAGAUUUGGAAACUCUCACACUAGAAAAUGAUUUUAUUCAUAAUUAUGAUUAUCUUAUGUGAAGGAAUAAUACAGAAGAAAAAAUUCAUGUUCUUGCUUUAGGAAUACCCAUUAAGAAUAUCAAAGAAUUCAGAACUGUAAAUUUCAAACAUCACCUUCAAUUUGAUAAGUUUAAAAUUUAUCAAGCAAAAGCUGAAAAUAAAUAUAUUCAUCAAAGCAUUGCCAUUCAUCAAUUAGGAGAUUAUAAUUGAUUGUUAUCCAAGUGUGAUGAACUGAAAAACGAUAUAUUCUCUGUUCUUGUGAGAUUUGUAGAUGAUGACUCUUUAGAAGUAAUAAAUGUGACUGAUGUUGAGAAAUUUAAUUUGGAUAAGUGAAAAAAUAAAUCAGAUUUUGAACCACUAAAAUGUUAUUUUGGACGACUCAAUUAUAUGGAAGACUACAAAAAUAUUCAAAUUUUGAAGUUAAGAAGUAAAUUUUUGCAUUAUAUUCUGAGGAGUGUAUAAGGUGUAUUGAUUUUUAUAAUCUAUUUUACAUGCAUUGAUACUUUAUAAGCCUAAAAACACUAAAGAAAUCAUACCCAUCAAAUGGAUAGAAGAAUUUAGGAAAAAUCUAUCUAAGAGUAACAAAGAUUUUAAUCAAAAUAAGCCAUAUAUAUAUACAGGACUGCUUCCUGGCGUGACUAAAUAUUGUCCAUUACAAAUUGUCGAAUUAGAAUGUACGUUUAAAAUCUGAAAAAAUUAGUACAUUUUAUAUAACACUCAUUAUUUAAUUUUUUUAAGUGAUCAAAUUCUGAAUUUUAAAAAUAUAAAUAACAAAAAGAGAGUAUUCAUAAUUUUUUGAAAAAGAGUGUUUUGAAAAAGUUCAAUAGAAAAGUAUCAGAAUUGAGUGAUACUGAGGAAACAAGAUAAUCUAUAAGUGAUGACACUGAAACCGAUUCUACCAGAGAAAAAAAUAAUACGGAAAAGAGUAAUUUAUGAAGAUCAAGGCCUAGAACAAGAAUAAUAAAAGUAAAAAACUUAAAGUUUCUAUGUGUACUCAGAGACUAUUUUAUUGUAAAGUGCACUGUUUUGCAGCACGAUUAAGAUGAAAAAAAUUAAUUCGAACGCAAAAGAUCUAGAAAAAAGAAAAACUUUAUUAUUACAAAGUGUAAUGCGUGAAAGUAAUCGGGCUGGAAGGGGUACUUCUAGUGAUCGAGAAGUGUUGAAUACGAGAAGGACUAAUGAUGUUGGUUAUUUUGAUAAGAAUAUAAAUAAAAAUAGUUAUGUAAUUCUUUCAGUCCUGAUAAAUCUCCUGGGCGUCAUGGGGAUAGUAAAUAAAUACAUAUAAAUUUGAAUGUAAUUAAAGUUAAAAUGCAUAAGCAAGUUCAAUUAAAUUUCUAUAAAAUGAUAAAUGCUGAAAACUAUUCGUUUCUUUCACCUUUAAAGAUUGAAGUUUCCAAUAAAAAAACAGAGCGAACUUUGAUAACGAAGAAAACUCAGCGGAUGAAAUUUUAGACACAUGAACUCAAAGGCGUAGAAAGAGGACUUAUAGCAGUAGAGGAUCAUUUCAAUCUAGAAAGAUUUGUUCUUAAUAAUCAUCGUAGAUGAUUAUCAUGAAACAAGAUGCUGAAGCGAUGAUAGUACAGAUUCAACCGAAGAAUACGGAAUGUUGGAAAAUUUUGAAGCCUUAGACAAAGUUACUAAGAAGAAAGUAACAUACAUUCAUAUAGGCUGCCAUUAAAAAAUUACUUACGCAUCUUGGAAGAACAUUAAGAGUGAAUGUUUUAAUGAAUACAGUUUCAUUGAACAAUUAUUGAAAGUAUUAUUUGGAAAACGAAAUAUACCUUCAAAAAAAACCAUUUAUGAGAAUUUCUGAUGGUAAAAUGAGAACAAAGAUUAGUGAAAAUGAAAGCAAUGAAAAAAAUUUUGAGAUACUGGGUUGGUGCUUAUGCAAGGCAUCUACUGCAAAGACGAACCAUACAGCAAAUUACGACGCUAGAGCAUAUAAGGCAUAUGUUAUCUCGAGCACAUUAU